rnacentral:rRNA from 1 species
UACGGGGGGGGGCAAGCGUUGUUCGGAAUUACUGGGCGUAAAGGGCUCGUAGGCGGCCAACUAAGUCGGAUGUGAAAUCCCCAAGCUUAACUUGGGAACUGCAUCCGAUACUGGAUGGCUUGAAUCCGGGAGAGGGAUGCAGAAUUCCAGGUGUAGCGGUGAAAUGCGUAGAUAUCUGGAGGAAUACCGGUGGCGAAGGCGGCAUCCUGGACCGGCAUUGACGCUGAGGUGCGAAAGCGUGGGGAGCAAACAGG